GAUUAAGUUAUUAAGGGCGCACGGUGGAUGCCUUGGCACUAGAAGCCGAUGAAGGACGUUACUAACGACGAUAUGCUUUGGGGAGCUGUAAGUAAGCUUUGAUCCAGAGAUUUCCGAAUGGGGAAACCCAGCAUGAGUUAUGUCAUGUUAUCGAUAUGUGAAUACAUAGCAUAUCAGAAGGCACACCCGGAGAACUGAAACAUCUUAGUACCCGGAGGAAGAGAAAGAAAAUUCGAUUCCCUUAGUAGCGGCGAGCGAAACGGGAAGAGCCCAAACCAACAAGCUUGCUUGUUGGGGUUGUAGGACACUCUAUACGGAGUUACAAAGGACGACAUUAGACGAAUCAUCUGGAAAGAU
rnacentral:rRNA from 1 species